CCCAUGCUGGCCUCAAAUUCCUGACCUGGGCUCACGGGAUUUUCCCAUCUCAGCCUCGUGAGUAGCUGGGACUACAGGCAUGUGCCAUCUUGCCUGGCUUCAUCUUAUGUCUAUACAUUCAUUUCAGUGGAUGAGAAUAAAAGUAGAGGUAGGUAAAUAGCCUAAAUGCAGCAGUCAAAUAAAUGAGUUGAUAUAUUUUUAUAAAUGAUCACAUCUUUUUUUCUUCUCUCCCUCUAUAGAUAUACCUUUGGAGUCCAACCCUUCUGACCAUCCAGAGGCAAGCAAUAAUAUUCCUGAGAAAAUCUCCAACAGAUGUGAGACCUUGGCGAUAUAUUAUCAUAUCAAGCAAAGGAAUGAGUUGGAAAGGCAAUUCUUAGUAAUUAAUUAUAAUAUCGCGUGGCAGUCUUAUGAAUUCUG
rnacentral:lncRNA from 1 species